UACGUAGGGGGCAAGCGUUGUCCGGAUUUAUUGGGCGUAAAGAGCGUGUAGGCGGCCAGGUAGGUCUGCUGUGAAAACUCGAGGCUUAACCUCGAGCUGUCGGCGGAAACCAUCUGGCUAGAGUCCGGAAGAGGAGAAUGGAAUUCCCGGUGUAAGCGGUGAAAUGCGCAGAUAUCGGGAAGAACACCCGUGGCGAAAGGCGGUUCUCUGGUACGGUACUGACGCUGAGACGCGAAAGCGUGGGGAGCGAACAGG
rnacentral:rRNA from 1 species